CCAGCAGCCGCGGUAAUUCCAGCACUUCAAGUGGUCAGGAUGAUUAUUGGGCCUAAAGCAUCCGUAGCUCGUUUUGUAAGUUUUCGGUUAAAUCCAUACGCUUAACGUAUGGGCUGCCGGGAAUACUGCAUAACUAGGAAGUGGGAGAGGUAGACGGUACUCGGUAGGAAGGGGUAAAAUCCUUUGAUCUAUUGAUGACCACCUGUGGCGAAGGCGGUCUACCAGAACACGUUCGACGGUGAGGGAUGAAAGCUGGGGGAGCAAACCGGAUUAGAUACCCGGGUAGUCCCAGCUGUAAACUAUGCAAACUCAGUGAUGCAUUGGCUUGUGGCCAAUGCAGUGCUGCAGGGAAGCCGUUAAGUUUGCCGCCUGGGAAGUACGUACGCAAGUAUGAAACUUAAAGGAAUUGGCGGGGGAGCACGGGAGUUGUACGAU
rnacentral:rRNA from 1 species